CCUACGGGUGGCAGCAGUAGGGAAUAUUGCUCAAUGGGGGAAACCCUGAAGCAGCAACGCCGCGUGGAGGAUGAAGGUUUUAGGAUUGUAAACUCCUUUUGUUAGAGAAGAUUAUGACGGUAUCUAUCAAUAAACAACGGCCAACUCCGUGCCAGCAGCCGCUGUAAUCAGGAGGGUGGCAGCGUUACUCGGGAUCAAUGGGCGUAAAGAGGGCGUAGGCGGGGUAAAAAGUCAGGUGUGAAAUCCUGUAGCUUAACUACAGAACUGCAGUUGAAACUGUUUCUCUGGAGUGUGGGAGAGGUAGGUGGAAUUCUUGGUGUAGGGGUAAAAUCCGUAGAGAUCAAGAGGAAUACUCAUUGCGAAGGCGGCCUGCUGGAACAUUACUGACGCUGAUGCACGAAAGCGUGGGGAGCAAACAGGAUUAGAUACCCCGGUAGUC
rnacentral:rRNA from 1 species